CCUACGGGUGGCAGCAGUGGGGAAUAUUGCGCAAUGGGCGCAAGCCUGACCCAGCAACGCCGCGUGAAGGAAGAAGGCUUUCGGGUUGUAAACUUCUUUUAAGGGGGAAGAGCAGAAGACGGUACCCCUUGAAUAAGCCACGGCUAACUACGUGCCAGCAGCCGCGGUAAUACGUAGGUGGCAAGCGUUGUCCGGAUUUACUGGGUGUAAAGGGCGUGCAGCCGGAGAGACAAGUCAGAUGUGAAAUCCACGGGCUCAACCCGUGAACUGCAUUUGAAACUGUUUCCCUUGAGUGUCGGAGAGGUAAUCGGAACUCCUUGUGUAGCGGUGAAAUGCGUAGAUAUAAGGAAGAACACCAGUGGCGAAGGCGGAUUACUGGACGAUAACUGACGGUGAGGCGCGAAAGCGUGGGGAGCAAACAGGAUUAGAUACCCCUGUAGUC
rnacentral:rRNA from 1 species